CGUCUGAGCGAUAAAUAAAUAGUUAAAAACUUUCAACAACGGAUCUCUUGGUUCCAGCAUCGAUGAAGAACGCAGCGAAAUGCGAUAACUAAUGUGAAUUGCAGAAUUCAGUGAAUCAUCGAGUCUUUGAACGCACAUUGCGCCCUCUGGUAUUCCGGGGGGCAUGCCUGUCCGAGCGUCAUU
rnacentral:rRNA from 1 species